GCGCCAAGCGGGUGAGAUCCGCGUGAGCACGCGCAAGCGUCGAGGGCGGGGCGACGGUACUGUGUGUCGCGGGAGCCGCCAGGAUUUGCGGGGGGCCUCCGGUGCCAUGAUCCGGAACGGGCACGGGGCUGCCAGCGCUGCUGGGCUGAAGGGUCCGGGAGAUCAGCGCAUCGUGCGGGUGUGGUGCGAUGGCUGCUAUGACAUGGUGCAUUAUGGCCACUCCAACCAGCUACGGCAGGCACGGGCCAUGGGGGACUACCUCAUCGUGGGUGUGCAUACGGAUGAGGAGAUUGCCAAGCAUAAGGGGCCCCCGGUGUUUACCCAGGAGGAGAGGUACAAGAUGGUACAGGCCAUCAAGUGGGUGGAUGAGGUGGUGCCCGCUGCUCCCUACGUCACCACCCUGGAGACACUGGACAAGCACAACUGUGACUUCUGUGUUCACGGCAAUGACAUCACGCUGACAGUAGACGGCCGAGACACCUAUGAGGAAGUGAAGCAGGCUGGGAGGUACAGAGAGUGCAAACGCACCCAGGGUGUGUCCACCACAGACCUCGUGGGUCGCAUGCUGCUGGUGACCAAGGCCCAUCACAGCAGCCAGGAGAUGUCCUCUGAGUACCGGGAAUAUGCUGACAGUUUUGGAAAGCCCCCUCACCCGACACCUGCCGGGGACACACUUUCCUCAGAAGUCUCCUCCCAGGUGACCAGAUGGUGGCCUCAGGGUGCCGGGUCCCCCAGAGGGCUGUGUCUGCUGGCCACUGGGCUCUGCGCCUGCUCCUGGUGGUGUUGCCAGGCAGAGCUGGUGUUGACUGCAUUAUCUUCUGUGGCCACCGGGUGGAGCCACAGUCCUGCUAGCUACAGUGGUCCUGCGUGGCCUUACCAUGUGCCCUGGGGGGCAGAGCCCCUGGACAGGGGUGUCCCAGUUUCUACAGACAUCCCAGAAGAUCAUCCAGUUUGCUUCUGGGAAGGAGCCCCAGCCCGGGGAGACGGUCAUCUAUGUGGCUGGUGCCUUUGACCUGUUCCGUAUCCUCUGCUGCCCGAAGUCAUGCCUCAGAGUGGGACCCAUAGCCUCCAAGGCUCCAGGGUUGAGCUGGGUUGUGGUGGGUGCGGCCUUCACCAGGGAGAAUGGCACGGGGUCCCUUGGGUGCCCAUUGCUGUUACCUGGCCUGCUUUCCUCCUCUCCAUCCAUGGGGUUGGGGAUGGAGCACAGGGCUCUGCGUAUCCGAGGCCAGUGACCUCUUGCUGAACUACAACCCCAAGUCUUGCUCUCUUGAGACAGAAUUUUCCUGUGUAGUCCAGGCUGACCUAGAACUUGCAAUACUCCUGCCUCCGCCACGCAAGUGCUGGGUUUACAAGAACACCAUGAUACACAGCUAGUUACUGCUUCUUAAUCUGGAUAUAGACAUCGGGCACGUGGACUUCCUACAGGAGGUGCACAAGCUAGCCAAGAGGCCCUACGUCAUCGCCGGCCUACACUUUGACCAGGAAGUAAACCGGUACAAGGGCAAGAACUACCCCAUCAUGAACCUGCACGAGCGGACUCUCAGUGUGCUGGCCUGCCGGUAUGUUUCAGAAGUGGUGAUUGGGGCACCAUACUCCGUGACAGCGGAGCUCCUGAAUCACUUCAAGGUGGACCUGGUGUGUCACGGGAAGACAGAGAUUGUACCCGACAGGGAUGGGUCUGACCCCUACCAGGAGCCCAAGAGAAGAGGCAUCUUCUAUCAGAUUGACAGUGGCAGUGACCUCACUACAGACCUGAUUGUGCAGAGGAUCAUCAAGAACAGGCUGGAGUAUGAAGCACGGAAUCAGAAGAAAGAAGCCAAGGAAUUAGCCUUUCUGGAGGCCACGAAGCAGCAGGAGGCGCCGCCUGGAGGGGAGAUUGACUAGCUUCAGACCCGGAGAUGUUGUUCACGCCCUUGCCCUGUGCCCACCUCUUCUCUUCCUGCCCGGCUCUGCUUCUGUGUCUUGAUGUCAGCUCACACAAUUCCAAAGGAAACUGGCCUUGCUGAGGGUGCUGCCUGCCUGCGAGGCACCUGCCUUGCAGCAGGCUCUCAGCCCUUCCCUCUGAGCUGCUCAGAGAGGGUAGCUAGCCCAAUGAUGUGGCCCGUGGACAGGAUAAGCAGAUGCACCUGUGACUGACUGGAGGCGUGUUGCUGUGUAUCCCGGGCAUCCAUGGGUUCCAACUGCCACUGCCCCAGUCUUGGCCAGAGAUACCCCUCCUGCCUGACUGGAAGCUGCACAUCUGCCCACUGAGCUUUGGUGAAAGGUCCAGAGGCUUUGGGGACCUCUGUUCCUGGGCCACCCUGCCCGUGGGCACCCUCUACCUUGGGGCACGUUCUAGCACCCCAUUCCUGACUCCUGGAAGAUGCACUUGCCCCGACAGCUGGGCAGCACGGCUGUCCUCUGCAGAGACUGCCUGGUCCUCAUUGUACUUUGGUGGCUCAACUGAAUAAAGCCUUGUGGGAAGCAC